GGCUCUUUGUAAUACAUUUAAAUAAGGAGUCGUACCUGCCCGGUGAUGUUUUAACGGCCGCAGUACUUUGACUGUGCAAAGGUAGCAUAAUCACUUGCCUUAUAAUUGAAGGCUAGAAUGAAUGGUUUGACAAGAAUACAACUGUCUCUAUGUGAUUUUAUAGAAUUUGAUUUUCAGGUGAAGAAGCCUGAAUUUAAUUGAAAGACGAGAAGACCCUAUCGAGCUUUAAAAAAGUUGGUAAAAGUAAUAUAAACAAUUUGAAAUUAAUUUUGCUAAAAAUUUUGGUUGGGGCGACAAAGGAAUCUAAGAAGCUUCCUUUAAUUGAAAAUUAUUGACAAAUAAUGAUCCAGAAAUUACUGAUUAAAGGAUAUAGUUACCGUAGGGAUAACAGCAUAAUUCUUUUUAAGAGACCAUAUCGAAAAAGGAGUUUGUGACCUCGAUGUUGGACCAAAAUAUCCUAAAGAUGUAGCAGUCUUUAAAGGUUGGUCUGUUCGACCAUUAAAAUUUUA
rnacentral:rRNA from 1 species